AGGGGGAUAACAUCCGGAAACGGGAUGCUAAAACCGCAUAGGUCUUCGAGCUGCAUGGCUUGAAGAGGAAAAGAGGCGCAAGCUUCUGCUGAUGGAUGGGCCCGCGGUGCAUUAGCUAGUUGGUGAGGUAACGGCUCACCAAGGCCGUGAUGCAUAGCCGACCUGAGAGGGUGAUCGGCCACAUUGGGACUGAGACACGGCCCAA
rnacentral:rRNA from 1 species